rnacentral:tRNA from 1 species
GAGGGUAUAGCUCAAAUAGUAGAACACACGCUUAGCAUGCAUGAAGUCCUGGGUUCAAUUCCCAGUACCUCCU